rnacentral:lncRNA from 1 species
CUGGCCACAGCCUACGUCCAGAGUACAGCUGCAACGUUUCCUGGGAUUCGCCAAAUUUUAUCGUCACUUUAUCUGGGGCUACAGCACCCUGGCUUCCCCCGUCUGAACUCACCUCUCCCAAGGUUCUGUUCACGUGGUCCCCAGCUGCUGACCAGGCAUUCCGGAAUUUCAAACACCGCUUCACCACAGCUCCCAUCUUGGUUCAUCCUGACCCGUCCCACCAGUUCGUGGUGGAGGCAGAUGUUUCGGAUGUCAGAGUGGGGGCUGUCCUGUCCCAGCGGUCUGCCUGGACCUCAAGUUACAUCCCUGCGCCUUCUUCUCCCACCGCCUCAAUGCCACAGAGAGGAACUACGAUGUGGGGAAUCGUGAGCUUCUUGCGGUGAAGAUGGUGGUGGAGGAGUGGAGGCACUGGCUGGAGGGGGCGGAACAUCCAUUAAUUGUGUGGACCACAAGAACCUGGAAUAUCUUCCAGGCAGGCUAGGUGGGCCCUACUGUUCACCUGGGUUCAACUUCUCCCUCUCCUACUGGUCGGGAUCCAAGAAUGUCAAGCUGGAUGCGCUGUCACGCCGCUAUAGCACCACAACUACUACCCGGAACCUGAGACCAUCCUUCCCACCUCCGUCCUGGCGACGGCACUCAGCUGGGGAAUAGGGAAGCAGGUUUGGGAGACGCAGCGUUCCCAGCCGAACCCCGGGGGGUCCAGAUAACCAAAUGUUCGUGCCUGACGCAGUCUGCUCCGUGGUCCUGGAGUGGGCCCACUCCUGACGCAGUCUGCUCCGCGGUCCUGGAGUGGGCCCACUCCUGACGCAGUCUGCUCCGCGGUCCUGGAGUGGGCCUACUCCUCCAGGCUUGCCUGUCACCCGAGCUCCCGUCGGACCCUGGCUUUUGUGCGACAAUGCUUUUGGUGGCCUACCAUGGUUCCUGACGUCUCCGCAUUCAUAGCUGCUUGCACGGUCUGUGCACAGAACAAGACUCCACGGCAAGCUCUGGUUGGUCUCUUCAAACCUCAUGCCUGUCAUUCACCAUCCCUGGUCUCACAUCUCCCUGGACUUUGUCACGGGUCUUCCCCCGUCUGAUGGCAACACCACCAUCCUGACCAUAGUGGAUCGGUUUUCCAAAGCCGUCCACUUCAUUCCUCUCCCCAAGCUACCCUCUGCCAAAGAGACGGCCCAGCUCAUGAUGCAGCACGUCUUCCGGGUCCAUGGACUAGACAUGGAGUAGACAUGGUCCAGUAGACAUGGUCUCCGACCAGGAUCCUCAGUUGUCGUCCCGGUUCUGGAAGGCGUUCUGCACCCUCAUUGGGUCAUUGGCCAGCCUGUCCUCCGGGUUCCAACACCAGUCCAACGGCCAGUCGGAGCGAACCAACCAAGACCUUGACUACUCUGCGCUGCCUGGUCUCCGCCAACCCCACCACCUGGAGCCAGCAGCUUGUGUGGGUCGAAUACGCCCGCAACACCCUUCCCUGCUCUGCCACGGGCCUAUCAUCUUUUGAGUGUUCCCUGGGGUAUCAGCCCCCACUCUUCCCUGAGCAGGAAGAAGAGUUUGGCAUACCUUCGGCGCAGAUGUUUGUCUGCCGCUGUCAUUGUACCUGAAGGAGAGCCCGGUCGGCCCUCCUGAAGACCACCUCCAGGUAUCGACGACAAGCGGAUCGCCACCGGACCCCAUAUCCCCAGUAUCGUCUCGGGCAGAAGAUAUGGCUGUCCACCCGGGAUCUGCCCCUCCGGGUCGAAUCCCGCAAACUCUCCCCCCGGUUUAUCGGCCCGUUUCCCAUCUCCAAAGUCAUUAGCCUCUCUGCUGUUCAUCUUCUGUUGCCCCGUACCGUUCAUAUACAUCACACCUUUCAUGUGUCCAGAGUUAAACCCAUGUCUCACAGCCCUUUGUCUCCUGUUUCUAUACCUUGAUCCCGACCUCACUGGAUUAUUGACCCCUGCCUGCCCUGACCCUGAGACUGCCUGCCAUUCAGGACCCUUUGCACCUUCUCUGAAUUUCUGACCCCUGCCUGCCCUUGUAUUAGAAAUAAACUUUUGUUUCUUCGACACUGUCUGCAUCUGGGUCAUAGCUGAAAUGUGAUAAAACUGGUCUUUUAGAAUAUAAUAGGUUAUUAAAACUGCAAUGGCACUAUAGCAAGACAUUUUUAUGCAGUAGUUUACUUACUUUGUGUAAAGGCCGAAAGGUCUCAUAACAAAUGGGUUACCUGUCUCUCUGCUGGACAUAAUGCAUUCCUAAGGGAUUUUACCUAAAGUGACGUGUACUGGGCAGGAUUCGUAUAACAUUUCAUAAAAUUUACACAAAAGAGGAUAUCAUAUUAUAUAUUAUUGCAAUCAGUAGACAUCAGGGAACACCCAUAUAUCUUUUAGUGUUUACAUGCAAACUUUUGGAACUAGCAAUUUUAUUGUCUUUUCCAGACCACCUCAAACAUUUUAAGCCAUCAUUGGGCUAUAUGUUCCAAUAGUUUAUUGAAAUAUAGACAUGUGAAUCGUGUCCAAUACGGCUCCAUGCAGCUGGUUGGCAGCUGUACAAAAUCCCUCAGAUUGGAGGAGCAUACUACAGAGAUGAACUUGAUUAAGUUGAUUUCACCUGUUGACUCUCUCUCAAUGCCACACACUUGUCACUAAUUAUCAGGCCUGCCCUGAUAGGCUCAUUCACACUUUUAAUUUGUAUUUAAAUCCUGUUCAUUUUGCACAAGCUGGACAUCCAUGAAUAGGAAUUUGUUCUUAACUGACUUGCCUAGUUAAAUAAAGGUAAAAUAAAAUAAAUAAAAAAUCCUAUUAGCGCUCUGAGAUACAUUGGAAUAGAAAUGGUCAAGAUGUCAUGCAACGGAGAGGACAUUGAGAGGAAACUACUAAGGGAAUCUUUCUGGAUCCACAGGCUCAACACACUGUCUCCUCUUGGCCUUAAUGAGGAGUUUGACUUUAAACUUUCUUUAGCUCUAAAAAUGUACAAACUACUGUUUUUACCUUAAUUGAAUAGUGAAGUGAUGUCACUGAGCACUGUUCCUAUAUAUAGGACCUCCCACCCCCACCUGGGAUAUGGAUGCCUGAUGAAGACCUAAGGGUCGAAACGUUGUAACAAUACAAUCACCUGGGAGCAUGAACAGCAGUGUGCGGCGCUUUUGUUUUUCAUGUAUUUACAUCCUGUCAAGACUUUCCUCAGUUUCUUUCCAGUUGUAUGCAUCCAAGUUAAAAAACCACACACAAAUCCAACUUUACCAUGUCCAACCACAAGCCCUCAAUAAAUAUGUGAACUUUG